rnacentral:lncRNA from 1 species
UCGUGUUCUCCUCAGGGACUAGGCAAGUCAAUGAUCAUGCUCGGAUAAAGCUAGGUAACACAAUUCAACUUAUGAAUGCAGAAAUAAAACCUAAACUAUCAAUGAUUGUCGCCAAAGUAAACGAAAAGAAGCAAAGGGAGAUUCAGAUUAUACUCUCUGUCUUUUUGGUAUUAUUUUUUAUUGGCAUGAGAAACUAAAACAGUAACACAAAGGGAACAACAGGACAUGAACAUAUAUAGUAGAAUGGAAAUGGGUCACAUUACAAACAUGUUUGUCACAGAGACGAAGCUAUCACAGAGACUGAAAAUUAAACACACACAAAGUUAACUGGUACUGGAAGUUAACUAGUACAGGGGACUAGUACACAGGGUGAACACACAUAUAUGCUAGCAGAAUACUAAUUGAUAGAACCAAAAUAUAAUAGAUCAAGUAUCUCCCAAAGUAACAAAGCCUCAACUAGUCAGAUCUCAGAUCACAUACACCAUAUUAUACGAGUACUUAAACAGAGCAAACAACAGGUUGCAAGUACACUUCAAAUCUGAAUAUUAAAUGUCAUACACUUCUAAAUUUUACAGAAAUUUCAGAGAGAGAGAGAAGCAGUAAGGAUUCGGAUUCAGAGAAGUGCAGCAGCAAGGUAAGGGAGGAAGGAGCAGCAGCAGCAAGUUAGGAGCAGCAGGGGACGCUGGAGACAAGGAGCAUCAGUAGUGGUGCAGCAAGAUAGGAGAAGAAGAACAGCAGUAGGCGUGUAAGGAAGAGGAGAAGCAGUUUGGGGAUUUGGAGAAGGAAGAGCAGCAAAGAGGCUAGGGAAAAAGAAGAAGAGCAGCAGUAGAGUUAGGACAAGAAGAAAGGUGGAGGAGCAGCAGGGAGAUGGAUUGCAGGGCGCGCGAGGUGGUGGUGGCGCUAGCGGCAGGAGGUGAUGGUGGCGCUAGCGGCAGGAGGUGAUGGUAGCGCUGGGUGUUGGUGCUGGUGAUGGAUGGCGCUGGUGGGUGGAUGAACUGCGGAGGCACACCACCACGCCGGCCUGGCCGUGGCGGCCGCCGAAGGUGGAGAAGGAGUGGUGAGGGGGAGAGAGAUGGAGAUGUGGCCAGGCCCGAUGGGGAAUGGAGGCAAUCUAGGGAUUUUGAUCCCCUCCCUGAUCUGCAAACUUUACACAUUAGCCCUCCUCCUUCUCUUCUUUCUUCACAAGAAGGUCCUCUCACUUCUUUAGCUAGCCCCCUGGUUACUUCUUUUCAUCUCACACAAGUCUCUUCUUCCUUCUCUUCUUUUCUUCACUCUUCUCGAUAACCACCUAGACAGAAUCUUGACGAUUAUUGGUGCCUUUGCGCACAUUUCUGCAAGAUAGACCAAAGACUAGUAAAUGAUCCUUUUUUAUGAUUAUCAAGCAAUAUUCAAUCAAUCAUGGCAAGAAUGGACGAAUAUAUCACGAUAGAUGCUACAUUUGAGUACCAAAAUUAUAUAUGUGAAAUAUACUUAUCAAGUUCCCCCACACUUAAAUCUUUGCUUGUCCUCAAGCAAAGGCAUAUGACAAGAGCAAGAAUGUGAACAGUGAACUCAGUAAAGAAUGCCAAGUGAAGUAGAUCUCCAAACAAUGCAUACUUUGGACUUAGCUAGUGAAAAUCAAUGGUUAAGAGUGCUACAAAGCAAUAGGCUACUAGCAGACUCAUCAUUUUAAACUAUUACAAUGAUAAAAGAAGAUUAACAAGUUCAAAUGUUGAUUGUGCCAAAAGUUUCCUAAAGAGAGCAUGAUCCCGAGAAUAAAAGGAAGUUGUGAACCACUUAUUGAAUUUGACAGAAACACACAUUAUUUUAUUAGUCUCACCGAAGGAACAUACCACCGAUCCCGAGAACAUGGUAUACACUGGCUCAACCAAUUAUUAUUAAAAAAUGUUUGUCUUCCCAAAGGAACAUACCACCGAUCCAGAGAACAUGGUAUACACAUGGUUCGACAAUUACAUAUUUAUUUACUAAUUACUGCCCAAGCUAACCCGAUUUCACAUGCCACCGAUCCAGGGAACAUGACAUGCUACUGAAGGUAGUCAGACUUAUUAUUCAUUAUAAGAUAUUUUUUUCAUUUUUCAAAUGAACAAAAACAAGAAUCAUCACUCAUCCAUGUCUAGUUCACAUGCUACCGAUCCAGAGACCAUAGCAUGCUAAUCCAUAGUGGUAAGUGAUUGCUCUGAAUGGGAACACAUUAGGCACAAACUCAGCAUCCAACACUUAAUGAUCUAGGUGUAUCGAGGUAAAAGCAGAAAAUGAUUAAGUUUUCUAGUGUACUAGGGAUUUGAGCACUCAAAACUAAUAGCUCUCACUAAUUUCAGCAAAGCACGCAUGGUGUAGAUCACUAGUUUACAAGGCAUUCAGAAAUCAAGUUACACUAAUUCACAUCAAGCUCAAUAUGCCAAAGGUGAGAUUUAGUGUGGCAACAUUUAAGAAAUGGCUCAAGCUACCCAUAUCAAAUUAUUUCAGCAUGUAUCGAUGGAUGAUGAUUUUAGUAGGGGUCAUGAAACAGCUUACCAGGCUCUUCAAAUGAUGUAGCACUCGCUCGAUCAAUCUCACAUCCUCUCCUUUUGUGUGCUCGUACACGCUCCUGCUUCUCUCAUCCUCAUGUGUGCUCGUUGCUUCUCCUCGUCACCAUCCUCUAAAUCCACCGGGGUCCCAAGGAAUGUCACCUCAAACCUGGUCAGCAUGUAGUGACGGUGCAGUAGCAAAAACCUGAAAUAGGACUCACACAAACAACGACUACAAGUGAUAGGGUCAAUGCCCUCUAAAUUAUCAAUAGAAUACCCAAUUACAUAAGCAUAGCUAUAAAGCACAUGUUUAGGAUGGUAGAAAUUAGUAGCAUGGGAAUGAUAUGUUUCAUUAAGCAUAGAACUAGCACGAGGAAAGUAACUGUGAUCAUCACAAAUGAGAGUAAUGCCAAUAACAGGGUGUGUAUGAUCAUGUCCAAGUAAAUAGUUUUUCAAAUCUACCUUAAGUGAUGGCAUCAUGCAAUGCAAGUUAGAAGCAAAGAAAUCAUAAGGGAGCAUGUCAUUAAGAGGAUUGGGUAAACCUGACACUUCACGCUCAUGUAUGACAAUAGGCCAAUGAAUCUCAGGUUCUUCAUCUUCAUCUAUAGCAGCUUCUUGUACUUCUUCAGGAGUAGUAGAUGAUGAGUCUUCAACUUGAUCACUUGGGAAUUGCAGCUCUUGAUCAUCUUGUGCCUUGGCUUCGAGAAUUUCUUCUUGGAUCUGAAGUAUCUCUUCCUCUGGACUCUCGCUAUCUUGCUCAGCUGAAUGUGAAGGUGUUGGGACCUCACAUGUAUCAAGGGGUAUCCCACAAAUACUCAGCUCAAGCUGUGAAGAAAUAGUACUGCCAGCGUUGAUGUUCUUCUCAAUCUUCUUUACUUCUUCCACAAGCUCUUUUCCACUCUUGAUCUUCUUCAUUUCCUCUAGAAUAACCUUCCUAAUAGGAUCAUCCUCGGCGCUCCAAGUGAACUCGAGACUCAAAAGUGUGAGCUUUUCUAUGUCAUCAAACUCAUCUUGUGUGGGCACUUGCACAUGAGAUUGCACAACAGGUGCUGGAGUUGUUGGUUGACCAAAUGGAGGACCAUUUAACUCCAUUGGACACAUCUCUGGGUGCAGAGGUACAUGAAUAGGAGCUGAAUGAAAUUGUUGUGGAGCAUAACUGUUGCUCUCUUCAUUGCACCUAAAUCCCUGCAUAUGAUUACUAGAACCAAACUAUGAAAUCUCAGGGUUGUUGCUCCUAUAUGACAUAUUUGGGUUUUCAGGCCACCCAUGUGAGUGAUUGUUUUGGUAUGAGCUAUGCUCUUGAGCAAAGCUCAUGCCAAAACAAUCUAGAGGGUGAGAGUAACUACGCUGACAUUUAAUGGGCGAAUGGCCCUGAAAUCCACAAAUACGGCAGGUAGGAGCAACAUAAGGAUGGCCUCUAGAAUAAGGAUCAUAAGAGCUAGGCCUAUCCUCAAAAACUACUUCUCGCUGCUGAGCUAAAUAAUCUAAUCGAUGGGAAAUCUUACUUAUUAGUUCUUGAAUACUCCCCAUGCUGUUUGUAGUGUUGCUCACGUAAGCAUGAUGAUCUGAGUAGAAUGCCAUUUCCAAUAAGACAAUUCAACCUACAAAAUGAACAAGAAAAAGAAGAUAACUAGAACAGUGGUUAGGGGUAAGAGAUAUAUCACAAAUAUAUGGCACUAAAUAGAAACAAAAGCAAAACCUAGUCUAUAGCCUAACACGGUCGCAUGAAGCUAGUCCCCGGCAACGGCGCGAAAAUGAUCAAUUGUAGGUACAGUGGGGUUUUACGCCCAAACUGCGAGUGUCAUGUUCUCCUCAGGGACUAGGCAAGUCAAUGAUCGUGCUCGGAUAAAGCUAGGUAACACAAUUCAGCUUAUGAAUGCAGAAAUAAAACCUAAACUAUCAAUGAUUGUCGCCAAAGUAAACGAAAAGAAGCAAAGGGAGAUUCUGAUUAUACUCUCUGUCUUUUUGGUACUAUUUUUUAUUGGCAUGAGAAACUAAAACAGUAACAUAAAGGGAACAACAGGACAUGAACAUAUAUAGCAGAAUGGAAAUGGGUCACAUUACAAACAUGUUUGUCACAGAGACGAAGCUAUCACAGAGACUGAAAAUUAAACACACACAAAGUUAACUAGUACUGGAAGUUAACUAGUACAGGGGACUAGUACACAGGGUGAACACACAUAUAUGCUAGCAGAAUACUAAUUGAUAGAACCAAAAUAUAAUAGAUCAAGUAUCUCCCAAAGUAACAAAGCCUCAACUAGUCAGAUCUCAGAUCACAUACACCAUAUUAAACAAGUACUUAAACAGAUCAAACAGCAGGUUGCAAGUACAGUUCAAAUCUGAAUAUUAAAUGUCAUACACUUCUAAAUUUUACAGAAAUUUCAGAGAGAGAGAGAGAGAAGCAGUAAGGAUUCGGAUUCCAAGAAGUGCAGCAGCAAGGUAAGGGAGGAAGGAGCAGCAGGGGACGCAGGAGACAAGCAGCGGCAGUAGUGGUGCAGAAAGAUAGGAGAAUAAGAACAGCGGCAGGCGUGUAAGAAAGAGGAGCAGCAGUUUGGGGAUUUGGAGAAGGAAGAGCAGCAAAGAGGCUAGGGAAGAAGAAGAGCAGCAGUACGGUUAGGACAAGAAGAAAGGUGGAGGAGCAGCAGGGAGAUGGAUUGCAGGGCGCGUGAGGUGGUGGUGGCGCUAGCGGCAAGAGGUGAUGGUGGCGCUGGCAGCAGGAGGUGAUGGUGGCACUAGGUGUUGGUGCUGGUGAUGGAUGGCGCUGGUGGGUGGAUGGACUGCGGAGGCACACCACCACGCCGGCCUGGCCGUGGCGGCGGCCGGAGGUGGAGAAGGAGUGGUGAGGGGGAGAGAGAUGGAGAUGUGGCAAGGCCCGAUGGGGAAUGGAGGCGAUCUAGGGAUUUUGAUCCCCUCCCUGAUCUGCAAACUUUACACAUUAGCCCUCCUCCUUGUCUUCUUUCUUCACAAAAAGGUCCUCUCACUUCUUUAGCUAGCCCCCUGGUUACUUCUUUUCAUCUCACACAAGUCUCUUCUUCCUUCUCUUCUUUUCUUCACUCUUCUCGAUAACCACCUAGACAGAAUCUUGACGAUUAUUGGUGCCUUUGCGCACAUUUCUGCAAGAUAGACCAAAGACUAGUAAAUGAUCCUUUUUUAUGAUUAUCAAGCAAUAUUCAAUCAAUCAUGGCAAGAAUGGA